AGGUAUCCGUUGACGGGGUAUGAAUAGCCUGGGGAUUUCGUGUAAGCCGUUCUGAAGGGAGCGGACCGUACGUGGAGAGACGUGCGAUACUGAAAUAUAAUUUAUGACAGCCUGCAGCCUGAAAGCCACAUGGAAAAGGGAAGAAUGAAGUGGGCUUAAUUGAGGCUGAUCUUGAGCCCUGAUAAGCAGAGACCUGCUGCAGUAGCACGUGAAGCUGGGUGUUUAGACCCCUCUGACUGUACACACAGAAAUGACUGACGGCAUCCCGGCUGUCUGCUCACAUGCUGAAAUGACCCCAAUCUCCAUCCUGAUCUCCAUACUGUGGCUGACAGUGUGUGAGGAGCAGGAGAGAGAUCUCUACUCAGUUCACUGUAAUGAGUGACACUCACCUGUGAGCCCAGCGAUGAGAAGAAACAGGAGCAUCAGAGGAUCCAUACGUGUGUGUGUCACUGAGCCCAGAUCUGUGGAGACUGACUCUCACUUCCUCAUCCUCUGUACCUUCACUGGCUCUGUCGUUUCUAUUGUUACACACAGCAGGCAGAGUGAGCGGGGAGUGUACAUUUUAAAGAGGAAGUGAGAAAACCAGAAGGCUGAAUGUUUAGCCCUUCAGAAAGUCAGACCAUUAUUAUUAGUGUGUAGAGAAUUAAAUCAACUAUCAAUGCACAGACUCAGUUCACAAAAUAAAAAAUCUGCAUGAAUAAA